CACGUAGGCGGACUUUUAAGUCAGGGUGAAAUCCCGGGGCUCAACCUCGGAACUGCCUUUGAUACUGGAAGUCUGGAGUCCGAGAGAGGUGAGUGGAACUCCGAGUGUAGAGGUGAAAUUCGUAGAUAUUCGGAAGAACACCAGUGGCGAAGGCGGCUCACUGGCUCGGUACUGACGCUGAGGUGCGAAAGCGUGGGGAAGCAAACA
rnacentral:rRNA from 1 species